rnacentral:lncRNA from 1 species
ACUCUGCUGGAAUACACACUUCCAGUUGUCCUGUCACGGUUCCCCAGAUGCUUUACUGCUCUUCCUUGUCUCAUCUGGGUUUAAAUUACAACUGGAAGUCCCUCCACCUUUGACAUUCCUGCCUUUGGAGCUUAUGCCAGCUGCAGUCCUGAAGAAAAACGUGGACAUUUCUGAAUACACCUGAAAACAUCUCUAUUAUGGGUGUGGAAUUAUAUGCUGUGUACACGAUGCCAGGAGCUACGUG